rnacentral:rRNA from 1 species
UACGUAGGGUGCGAGCGUUGUCCGGAAUUAUUGGGCGUAAAGGGCUCGUAGGCGGUUUGUCGCGUCGGGAGUGAAAACCUCGGGCUUAACUCGGGGCUUGCUUUCGAUACGGGCAGACUAGAGGUAUGCAGGGGAGAACGGAAUUCCUGGUGUAGCGGUGAAAUGCGCAGAUAUCAGGAGAAACACCGGUGGCGAAGGCGGUUCUCUGGGCAUGAUCUGACGCUGAGGAGCGAAAGUGUGGGGAGCGAACAGG